rnacentral:rRNA from 1 species
UGGGGAAUCUUGGACAAUGGGCGCAAGCCUGAUCCAGCCAUGCCGCGUGAGUGACGAAGGUCUUCGGAUUGUAAAGCUCUUUUUACCAGGGACGAUAAUGACGGUACCUGGAGAAUAAGCCCCGGCUAACUUCGUGCCAGCAGCCGCGGUAAUACGAAGGGGGCUAGCGUUGUUCGGAAUUACUGGGCGUAAAGCGCACGUAGGCGGAUUUGUAAGUCAGGGGUGAAAUCCCGGGGCUCAACCUCGGAACUGCCUUUGAUACUGCAAGUCUCGAGUCCGAUAGAGGUGAGUGGAAUUCCUAGUGUAGAGGUGAAAUUCGUAGAUAUUAGGAAGAACACCAGUGGCGAAGGCGGCUCACUGGAUCGGUACUGACGCUGAGGUGCGAAAGCGUGGGGAGCAAACAGGAUUAGAUACCCCCGUAGUCCCUGAGCGGGCUGGCAAGGCGCAU